rnacentral:rRNA from 1 species
CUCCGUGCCGCCGCUAACGCAUUAAGUAUUCCGCCUGGGGAGUACGGUCGCAAGAUUAAAACUCAAAGGAAUUGACGGGGACCCGCACAAGUAGCGGAGCAUGUGGUUUAAUUCGAAGCAACGCGAAGAACCUUACCUACACUUGACAUCCCUUGCAUUACUCUUAAUCGAGGAAAUCCCUUCGGGGACAAGGUGACAGGUGGUGCAUGGUUGUCGUCAGCUCGUGUCGUGAGAUGUUGGGUUAAGUCCCGCAACGAGCGCAACCCUUGUCGUUAGUUACUACCAUUAAGUUGAGGACUCUAGCGAGACUGCCUGGGUUAACCAGGAGGAAGGUGGGGAUGACGUCAAAUCAUCAUGCCCCUUAUGUGUAGGGCUACACACGUGCUACAAUGGCUGGUACAGAGAGAUGCAAUACCGCGAGGUGGAGCCAAACUUAAAAAACAGUCUCAGUUCGGAUUGUAGGCUGAAACUCGCCUACAUGAAGCUGGAGUUACUAGUAAUCGCGAAUCAGAAUGUCGCGGUGAAUACGUUCCCGGGUCUUGUACACACCGCCCGUCACACCAUGAGAGUUGGCAAUACCCGAAGU